rnacentral:rRNA from 1 species
CCCUACUGCUAUCGGGGUGGGACUAAGACAUGCUAGUCGAGCGCCUUGAGCUAUGGCGAGGCGCGGCGUACAGCUCAGUAACACGUGGCUAACCUACCCUUAGGACGGAGACAACCCCGGGAAACUGGGGCUAAUAUCUGAUAGGUGAGGAGGCCUGGAAUGGUUCUUCGCUGAAAAGGCGUUGAAACCAUGCUUUUCAGCGUCGCCUAAGGAUGGGGCCGCGUCCGAUCAGGUUGUUGGUGGGGUAACGGCUCACCAAGCCUAUAACCGGUACGGGCCGUGAGAGCGGGAGCCCGGAGAUGGGCACUGAGACAAGGGCCCAGGCCCUACGGGGCGCAGCAGUCGCGAAAACUCCGCAAUGCGCGAAAGCGUGACGGGGCUACCCCGAGUGCCGUCCGCUGAGGAUGGCUUUUCCCCGGUGUAAUGAGCCGGGGGAAUAAGGAGAGGGCAAGUCUGGUGUCAGCCGCCGCGGUAAUACCAGCUCUCCGAGUGGUAGGGACGAUUAUUGGGCUUAAAGCGUCCGUAGCCGGCUUAGCAAGUCUUCUGUUAAAUUCAGCGACCUAAUCGUUGAGCCGCGGGAGAUACUACUAGGCUAGGAGGCGGGAGAGGCCGACGGUAUUCUCGGGGUAGGGGUGAAAUCCUAUAAUCCCGGGAGGACCACCAGUGGCGAAGGCUGUCGGCUAGAACGCGCUCGACGGUGAGGGACGAAAGCUGGGGGAGCGAACCGGAUUAGAUACCCGGGUAGUCCCAGCUGUAAACGAUGCGGGCUAGGUGUUGGGGUGGCUACGAGCCACUUCAGUGCCGCAGGGAAGCCAUUAAGCCCGCCGCCUGGGGAGUACGGCCGUAAGGCUGAAACUUAAAGGAAUUGGCGGGGGAGCACCACAAGGCGUGAAGCUUGCGGUUC